rnacentral:rRNA from 1 species
UACGUAGGCAGCGAGCGUUGUUCGGAGUUACUGGGCGUAAAGGGUGUGUAGGCGGUUGUUUAAGUUUGGUGUGAAAUCUCCCGGCUCAACCGGGAGGGUGCGCCGAAUACUGAAUGACUUGGAGUGCGGGAGAGGAGAGUGGAAUUCCUGGUGUAGAGGUGAAAUUCGUAGAUAUUGGGAAGAACACCGGUGGCGAAGGCGGCGACCUGGUCCGAAACUGACGCUGAGGCGCGAAAGCGUGGGGAGCAAACAGG